rnacentral:rRNA from 1 species
AUACGGAGGAUGCGAGCGCUAUCCGGAUUUAUUGGGUUUAAAGGGUGCGUAGGCGGUUUUUUAAGUCAGCGGUGAAACGCAAGGGCUCAACCCUUGACCUGCCGUUGAAACUGGAGGACUUGAAUGCGGAUGCUGUGGGAGGAAUGUGUGGUGUAGCGGUGAAAUGCAGAGAUAUAACACAGAACACCGAGUGCGAAGGCAUCUUACAAAACCGUGAUUGAUGCUGAGGCACGAAAGGGUGGGGAUCAAACAGGAUUAGAUACCCUGGUAGUCCACACAGUAAACGAUGAUGCCUCGAUGUCGGCGAUAUACGAUCGGUGGCCAAGCGAAAGCGAUAAGUCAUCCACCUGGGGAGUACGACCGCAAGGUUGAAACUCAAAUGAAUUGACGGGG